AUGGGAAGAGCAAGCACAAAGCCUUUUGCUCUCUGGGUGGAAGGAGGGCCUGUGGACUGCAGCAGAACACUGAGCUGUGAGAAACCAGCACAGCACACAUCCGGGAGAGGCCUUAGCCCAUGGACAUCUCAGGAGCACCCUAACCUUUCCAAGGAAGAGCAUCUCUCCAAGGAAGUGGCCUUUCUGGCUUCAGGAGUCGAGGGGAGGCUGAGCAGGUAUUAUUUUGGAGAAACCAAACAACCUCCCUGGAAUAGUGCAAUGUUGUGAGAAGCAGAGGGACUGGAUACCAACCACCUGAGUCAGAAGGAGGCAGCCCAGAAAGGUAGCACUUCAGGAGGUGAGGCAGCUAUCAUGUGAUAAUCAUAUCCUUGGAGAAUCACAGAUCCAGAGCAGUACCUCUUGCCUCACAAUGCCCUAGGGUGUUAUUAUCUUAUGAUAACCAUCUUAAAGAUGUCUUUUUUGCUCAAUUAACACAUACUUCCAUGAAAAUUAGCUAUCAAGAUGAGUUACAAAAUACAGAUAUUUAACAUGACAGGUUAAAAUAGUGCAGAUGUCUUCAUCCAAUUAUUGCAAUUUGUACUCUGGACAAGGAAAACUACUUGGAUGAGUGAUUCAACUUGCUAACAUUUAUAUGUUUGGUAAUUGUAUAUUAUUACAAGAUUUCUUCAUAUUGAGCAAACUCUAUAUUUUUGCUGACAGAGCUGUCUUUUUGAAAUGCAGACCCCGGCAGGUUUAUAUGAGUGUCUUCGUCUCCCAUCAGUUUGUUUUGUUUGGACCUGCCUUUUUACAAAACUUCCCCAGGGGUCCCAAUACGUUUUCUCAUCCAUUCUGUGGCAUGCAAUUUGCUUUUUGAGCCAGGCCAUUUGCUUUUUGAGUGUUUGCUGGCAGAGAGUAAAGCACACUUGUCACGAGUGCACAUGGGCUGGGAAUAUUUCUUGAGAAUAAAUGGGGCAGCAAAAUAAGGAAAAGUUUGUGCACUGCAGAAGAAGUCGGUGUAUUGGUGUGAAUUCCUCCUGGCUCCUGGCAGAGCACUGUAAUACCUCUAUGGACCAUGCAUUCCUAUCUGAAAGUGGGUGGAUUCAUUCAGCUAAUUUCUAAUAUUCUUUCCAGCUUUAAAAUUCUGUGCUUCUGAAGUAAAAAUACAUACAACCUCAUGGUAGCUGAGGAUGUUAAAUGGCUAGGCACUUCCUAAACUAUGUGCCUAGGGCAGUGUACAAGACAACCCCCUACCCCAUAACAAAGAAUUAUCCAGCCCACAAAGUCAAGUGCUUAGAAUGAGAAAUCUCGGUGGAGGGAAAGUUUCUUAACAUCUCUAAUCCUUGGUUUCCUCAUCCGUAACACCAGCCUAACUUAGUGAUAUGGUUUGACUCUGUGUCCCUACCCAAAUCUCAUGUCCACUUGUAAUCCCCAUGUGUUGGAGGAGGGGCAUGGUUGGAGGUGAUUGAAUCAUGGUAGUGGAUUUCCCCUCUGCUGUUCUCGUGAGAGUGCAUGAGUUCUCACGAGAUCUGGUUGUUUGAAAGUGUGUAGCACCUCCCCUUUCGCUCUCUCUCUCUCCUGCUCCACCACGGUGAGAUGUGCUUGCUUCCCCUUCGCUUUCCACCUUGAUCAUAAGUUUCCCAGCCAUGCUUCCUGUACAGCUUGUGGAACUGUGAGUCAAUUAAACCUCUUUUCUUUAUGAAUUACUCAGUCUCAGGUAGUUCCUUAUAGCGUGUGAGAAGGAACUAACGAACUGAGUUUCUGUGAGGAUUCACUGAAGCAAUGUGUAUAAAGCAGUUAGUGCUGCCACGUAAUACUCUGUAAGUAUCAUCAAUUACGAUUGUUUUUAUAAUUAAUAGUGCCAGUAAUAUUUUAAAAAUUGCUAUACAUGUGGAAGAAAAAUUCUUUAAAUCAAAUUUUCAAUGACUAUUUGUUAGGUACACCAACAACCUGAGAGAUUCCUGGGCCUCUGAAACACUCGAAUGCAAUGAUUCUAACAACGUGUUCGAUGAACUUAUGGCAUCAGCCUCACUUGGGAACAUGUUAGGGAAAUUCUUGAUUCACACUCCAGACCUAUUGAAUCAGAAAUCCUGAUGGUGGAACCCAGGAAACUGUUGCUAUCAAAUUCUCCAGGUGAUUCUGAUGUGAACUAGAGUUUGAAAACCAUUGCUCUAAUAUAUACCUUGGGAAUAAUUCCUCUAAGCGGGAACUGGGUCUCAUCUAUGUCAUCACUCCAAACACCUGGUUGAGUGCCUUGUAUGGGGUAGGUACUUAGUAAAGUGAUUGAAUGGGAUGAAAAACUAAUUCAUGAGCAGGACCUGAUCCUACAUUAUUGACAAUUGUUCCCACAGCUUGGCAUUGACUGAUGUUGACAGACACAACUAAGUUACACCCACAGGUCCUAAUCUCUCUCUGUCUGCCUGUACCAGGUGUAAGGCAGCAUGCCUGUGGGCUAAAGAGGCCACUUGUGCUUACAAGUUGAGACCUGCCAGCACAGUUCAAGUGAUCCUACACCUUAGUUAGGGCCAAACAGAGGGAGAGGUUUCAUUAGAAAUAAUUAAACUCAAAUGAAACAAACCCAGGAGUUCAACACAACUGCAGCUGCGGCUGUCAUCAAAUCAUUCCUCUAUUGUUUUUAUUGUGGGGAUUUUGGAACUAAUAGACAAGAGUUUGGGG
rnacentral:lncRNA from 1 species